GAUAAACGCUGGCGGCGUGCCUAAUACAUGCAAGUCGAGCGAAUGACGAGGAGCUUGCUCCUCUGAUUUAGCGGCGGACGGGUGAGUAACACGUGGGUAACCUGCCUGUAAGACGGGGAUAACUCCGGGAAACCGGAGCUAAUACCGGAUGAUAACGAGAAGCGCCUGCUUCUUUUUUGAAAGUCGGUUUCGGCUGACGCUUACAGAUGGGCCCGCGGCGCAUUAGCUAGUUGGUGAGGUAACGGCUCACCAAGGCAACGAUGCGUAGCCGACCUGGGAGGGUGUGCGGCCACACUGGGACUGCGACACGGCCCAGACUCCUACGGGAGGCAGAGGUAGGGAAUCUUCGGAAAUGGACGAAAGUCUGACCGAGCAGCGCCGCGUCAGCGAUGAAGGCCUUCGGGUCGUAAAGCUCUGUUGUCAGAGAAGAACAAGUACCGGAGUAACUGCCGAUACCUUGACGGUACCUAACCAGAAAGCCCCGGCUAACUUCGUGCCAACAGCCGCCGUAAUAC
rnacentral:rRNA from 1 species